GCUUAAUAACAUUUGUCCUUAGAUUUAAGCGGAUUUUUUAAUUUGAAUUUGUACGACUCGUGCGCCAUCUACAUCGAGAUUAAUAAAACAACUAGUUAACCUUAUUGAAAGUACAUUAAAAAUGUAAUGUUUAAAAACAUAAUCCUGUUGAAAUUGUGCAACAAGUUUGUGUCAUUUUAAAAACUCAGUUUUCAAAAAGGAGACCUCUAUUAUUUAUUUCAUUCUUUUUAUUCAACAACUUUAGCGAUCACAAUGAAAAGAUACUAUUUUAAAUAGAUGGACACAUGACAUAUGUAGUAAAGGAAGUCAAGAAAAGGAACACGGUUCGCUGAAUUGCUAUCUUGCUACUUAGCCCUAUAGUAUACUGCACGUUUUCAAAGGAUUCAACUGUUUAUUCCGUAAUAAACAGUAAAACUGUAACUUUUACAGUUUAUCGUGGAAAUGAGUUGUGCAGGUUUAGUCACUUAUUACUACGGUCGAACAUUAUUUAAUUUGAUAAUAUAUGGAUAACUGAGAAUUAGUUUUUUUUUUAAGGAUAAAAUAAAAUGCAAUUACGUGGUAAAAUAGUGAAGAAGUUAAUUCUCCUAACAUAUGUUGUCUAAUUCUCGAUUCAGCCUCUCCUUCUGUCGUUUUGAUAACUUCACAUUCUCGUAAGAAGGUAUCCUAAUUUUUUAUACAAAAUGUGUACUAUUAUAACAUGAACAGUAUUUCAAAUAUAAUAUUACUUUGAGACAUUA